UGAUUGUCUCUCAACAACAGAAAACUACAGGUGGGAUUUUCCUGAGCAUCACAAAGAAAGGAAAUCCAAGGUGGAGAAGCCCGUUCAC